CCUAUUGUCCAGGGAGUUGCAAGUUUGAAUCCAAACAAUGCAACAGCCAUCCAUGGCUGAGAGUCCAAGACAGCAAAAUUUACUAUGCUCCCUGGCUGGGAGGGAUGACAUACUGCCUUGCCCCUAUCAAUCACAGCAGCACAACCAAUCAAGGGCAUUUCUGAGCUCAUGCAUUCAUCUUGAAGCAUAAGGAUUUCCUCCAAGUGUGUUAAGCCACCACAUGAUGCAGCAUGAACAGCAGCCCAAAAAGCUGAAGUUGGCUGCCUUAUGUAUCUCAGAGGAAGCACAUGAUAGCCUUCAAACUCCCUGGUUGUUGGAUGAUAAGAUAGGUAGCAGGAAUUGGCCAAGAGUAAAUUUGGGAGAUAAUCAGGAGAAAAUGGUAUAAAAAAUGUCAACAGUUAGUAUGCAUGUUAUUCGAAUAAAAGUACUAACUCACUCACAUUCAGUAACUGCUUAUCCUGGUCAGAGCACACUUGGCAUGCGGCUGGUAUACGCCUUAGAUGGGACACCUAGUAAUCACAGAGCAACAUGCCCACUCAUUUAAAACUAGGGGCAAUUUAGUGUAACCAAUCCACAUAUUGCUACCUAGGAUUGUUAAAUAUUAGAUCUCUUAUGUCUAAGAGAUCUAAUUGUAGAGCGCUUAUUGUUAAUGAAACCAUUACUGAUCAAGAAUUGAAUGUAGUGUGUUUAACAGAAAUGCGGUUUAAUCCAAAUGACUAAGUAGUAUUAAAUAAAACUUAUCCUCCUAGAUACGGUUAAAUACACUUCAGCCCCAUCUAAGUGGCAGAGGAGUAGGUGUCACACUCAUUUAUAAUGAUAAUCUAGGUGUCACACAAAAACCUAUUCAUAAAUUCAAUGAUUUAAAUUAUUUAUGCUAACCUAACAAAUAUAGCUAAAAAAAAAAAAUGUCUACCCAGUCAAUUCCACUAAUUAUUAUUUACAGCCCUCCAGGGCCAUAUACUGAAUUCCUUUGUGAAUUUGCAGAUUUCAUCUCUAACUUUGUAUUUCUUUAGACAUAGCAUAAAUUGUUGGAGACUUUAAUAAUCAUGUUGAUAACCUGGAAGACCCUCUGUGUCAUGGAUAUGCUGAAAUAGGCAUUUGGACUAUGAUUCCUGUCCAACACUGCACCUCACGUGAUCAUGUCACAUGACUGUCACAUGACUGUCUGCACCUGAUUCAUGUUUAGAAGUAAUUAACACGUAUAUAAGUCACUUUUUGAAUUCAAUACCUUGUGUUUGUCUUUCUUUGGCAUGUUAUAUGCUCGCUUGUUUUUUGUUUCUUUAUCCUUGUACCUUGCCACAAGUUCCAUAGUUCUUGUUUUGUUUUGAACUUUAUUAAAUGUCUGACUGCAUUUGCAUCUGUCUCCACCUGCUUUAUCUGACAACACAAGACCUACAAAAUGGACACAGCAGAACUUUUCUCUACCCAAGAGCCCAUUCUGGAUUGCCUUAGGAUGGAACAAUAGUUGAAGGGCUUUUUGGCAAGGACUGCAGAGGCAUGGUUUGAGACAUGUUUUGUUAGACUGGUGCCGAAACCCAGGAAGGAUGCACUGCCAGAGAGCCCUCACCGCUGUGGGAAGAUUGUGACGCCGAGGAGGUGGUAGUGCUGGAGUGGUUGCCAGGGAGGACAGAGGAGUCAUUGCCAUCCACUGGGAGGUGGAGGAACCACUGCCAUCCACCUGAAAGGGGAGGAACGGAUGAUGUCCGGCAGGGGGUGGAGGACCCGUUGCUGUUCGGCAGGGAAGGGAUGGAGCUGUAGCCAUCUGUUGGGGAGGCGGAGGUGUGGCUGCUGUCUGCCAGAAAACCACACAUGAUUUUAUGGAGAUGCCAGUGAUCCUGACCCUUUCUGCACUCUGGACCUGCCUGAUCCAUCCGGAUGCUCUAGCUGGAGCUCUAAUCAACUGGAGGCUACAGCCUGGAGAUUGAUUAGGAUGGUACCAUUUGAAGUACUAUGGAAAUGGUUUUGGACCUCAGAUCCACAUGGACAUUCUCGCUGUGGUUGCUGGGACUAUGGUUGCUACUAUGGCCUUGGGACUGCAAUUACCUCAUACAAUUUUACACUCAGGUCUCCUUUAGUGAACAGUGAACUAGUUCAAGACUUCAUGUAAAAAACAUAAUGAACUUUCUUUAACGUUCACACUAUCUGCUGUUACCCAUAUGAGUUUGGGUCUGUUUCCUCUCAAGGUUUCUUCCUCAGAUCAUCUUAGGGAGUUUUUUUCUUGCCACCAUCGCACCGGCUUGCUCAAUAGGGAUAAAUUCACACACUUGCGUAAAAUCUGUAUCGUGUAUUUACAUGUUUCUGUAAAGCUGCUCUAAGACAAUGUCCCUGUAAAAAGCACUAUACAAAUAAAAUUUUAUUGAAUUGAAAACACUUUUUCACAGCACUGUAUCAAUACUUGAAAAUAUACUUGUAAGGUAAACAAUUUUUUUUCCAA